UACGUAGGGUGCGAGCGUUAAUCGGAAUUACUGGGCGUAAAGCGUGCGCAGGCGGUCUGUUAAGACAGAUGUGAAAUCCCCGGGCUUAACCUGGGAACUGCAUUUGUGACUGGCAGGCUAGAGUAUGGCAGAGGGGGGUAGAAUUCCACGUGUAGCAGUGAAAUGCGUAGAGAUGUGGAGGAAUACCGCUGGCGAGGGCAGCCCCUGGGCCAAUACUGACGCUCAUGCGCGAAAGCGUGGGGAGCAAACAGG
rnacentral:rRNA from 1 species